rnacentral:rRNA from 1 species
AUCAGGAACGUGCCCAGUCGUGGGGGAUAACGAAGCGAAAGUUACGCUAAUACCGCAUACGAUCUACGGAUGAAAGCAGGGGAUCGCAAGACCUUGCGCGAUUGGAGCGGCCGAUAUCAGAUUAGGUAGUUGGUGAGGUAAAGGCUCACCAAGCCGACGAUCCGUAGCUGGUCUGAGAGGACGAUCAGCCACACUGGGACUGAGACACGGCCCAGACUCCUACGGGAGGCAGCAGUGGGGAAUAUUGCACAAUGGGCGAAAGCCUGAUCCAGCCAUGCCGCGUGCAGGAAGAAGGCCUUCGGGUUGUAAAGCGCUUUCAGUAGGGAGGAAAAGGUGUUACUUAAUAAGUAGAUAUUCAUGACGGUACCGUAAGAAUAAGCACCGGCUAACUCCGUGCCAGCAGCCGCGGUAAUACGUAGGGUGCGAGCGUUAAUCGGAAUUACUGGGCGUAAAGCGUGCGCAGGCGGUUAUGUAAGCCAGAUGUGAAAUCCCCGGGCUCAACCUGGGAAUUGCAUUAGUGACUGCAUAGCUAGAGUCUGGCAGAGGGGGAUAGAAUUCCAGGUGUAGCAGUGAAAUGCGUAGAUAUGCGGAGGAACACCGAUGGCGAAGGCAAUCCCCUGGCCAAGACUGACGCUCAUGC